rnacentral:rRNA from 1 species
AGAAUCAACGCUGGCGGCGUGCCUAACACAUGCAAGUCGAACGAGAAAGUGGAGCAAUCCAUGAGUACAGUGGCGACCGGGUGAGUAACACGUGACUACCUACCCUUGAGUGGGGGAUAACCUCGGGAAACCGAGGCUAAUACCGCAUAAUAUCGAGAGAUCAAAGGAGUAAUCCGCUUUUGGAGGGGGUCGCGGCUGAUUAGCUAGUUGGUAGGGUAAUGGCCUACAAAGGCGAAGAUCGGUAUCCGGCCUGAGAGGGCGCACGGACACACUGGAACUGAAACACGGUCCAGACUCCUACGGGAGGCAGCAGUGGGGAAUUUUGCGCAAUGGGGGAAACCCUGACGCAGCAACGCCGCGUGGAGGAUGAAGCCCCUUGGGGUGUAAACUCCUUUCGACCGGGAAAAUAAUGAUGGUACCGGUGGAAGAAGCACCGGCUAACUCUGUGCCAGCAGCCGC